UACGUAGGGUGCGAGCGUUGUCCGGAAUUAUUGGGCGUAAAGAGCUCGUAGGCGGUUUGUCGCGUCGGCCGUGAAAACUUGGGGCUUAACUCCAAGCUUGCGGUCGAUACGGGCAGACUUGAGUUCGGCAGGGGAGACUGGAAUUCCUGGUGUAGCGGUGAAAUGCGCAGAUAUCAGAAGGAACACCGGUGGCGAAGGCGGGUCUCUGGGCCGAUACUGACGCUGAGGAGCGAAAGCGUGGGGAGCGAACAGG
rnacentral:rRNA from 1 species